rnacentral:rRNA from 1 species
UACGUAGGGGGCAAGCGUUGUUCGGAAUUACUGGGCGUAAAGGGCGCGUAGGCGGCCUGACAAGUCGGGAGUGAAAGCCCGGGGCUCAACCCCGGAACGGCUUUCGAAACUGUCAAGCUAGAGUGCGGAAGAGGCAACUGGAAUUCCCAGUGUAGCGGUGAAAUGCGUAGAUAUUGGGAAGAACACCUGAGGCGAAGGCGGGUUGCUGGGCCGACACUGACGCUGAUGCGCGAAAGCCAGGGGAGCAAACGGG